CCAAAAGAGAGUUUUUUUUUCCCCCUCUGUCUGGAGUUUCGUCAUUUUGUGGCUCUAACGAUGAAUAAGGAGCCGGUUGAGGCGGUGGAGGUGCAGGCGCAGCCGGCGUUGGGUCGGCGGCGACGGCGAAACCAUCGACCAUAAUCGGAGCAUUUCUGAGCUGAUCUCCGUUCUCAGGACGUCGCCCUACUUCGACCGUGUCGAUGAGAUUUUGAUCGCGAGAGAGGAGAACCUGAAGCGAGAACUCCAGAAAAAGGACGAACAGCACGAGUUAACCAGAGAGAGUCUGGGGAUUGAGCGAUUCCAGAAGGCCGAAGCGGAGGAGGAGCUCAAGAGUUUCAAGGCCAGGUGCGCCGAACUCGAGAAUCUGAGGGAGAGCAUCGACGCAAUGCGGGAGAGAGUGACAAUGGCGGACGAAAGGGCGAAAUUGGCGGAGGAGCGUACGAAGAAGUCUGAAGAGACGUACGAGAAGCUUCUCAGAAAAGUUAAGAUGGCGGAGAACCAAAAAAGCUACGAUCUUGUUGAGUUAAAGAGGAAGAAUGGGGAGUUGGAGUCCGCGAAGAAGGGGGCCGAGGAAGAGCUUGAGCUAUGAAAGAGAGAAUUUGGGAAGUUGGAGGCUGAUACCAUAAAGAUUAUAAAUGCUAAAAAUAGAGCAAUGAUGAUUGUGCUCCGGGAGCCACCUCUUCUACUAAAGUUGACGUCCUCAAAAGAAAACGAUCGUCGUAGAUGUGAUUAUGUGAAUGAAGAUGAUAAUGUUGUUCCGGAUAAAAGGAUGGGGGCAAGAUCAACAUCUGUUUGUUGGUGGUUCCUCUGGUAAUUCUGACCAUGCAACAGUUACUUCUGCCACCGCUGGUGAUCUGGAAAACCAAAAUUUCCCAGCAAAUCAUGGUCAAGGCGUCUCACUUGAAGCAAAUGGAACACCAGAAAGAAGAGAUUUCUCUUAUUAUGCUGCCAAGUGUCUUGGGGUUUAGUUUGAUGAGUUCAUGGUUAAACUUCCUCUUCUUCUGACAACAGUAGCGAAUAGUAAUUUUAGUCAAGCAUCUUAUAGGUUGUAGAGAUACGUGACUGCGUAGUUGGAGAAUCGUAUUUAAACAUAAACAUUUUGUUCCGAGCUACUUGAAAUUAUGCGGUUCUGAGCGUUUUUUGUUGGUUGGUGCUGCAGCAGGGUAGCUCAUGCAUUACACAGACACAGAAUGCUGCCUAAUAGCUGGAUCAUUAUGCCAAGGAGUUGAAACUCACUCCUGUUUCCUUAUAUGCGUAUACUAAUCUGUGUCACUAUGGAUCUGUUUUCUUUUA